rnacentral:rRNA from 1 species
UGAGGAAUAUUGCGCAAUGGAGGAAACUCUGACGCAGCAACGCCGCGUGGGUGAAGAAGGCUUUCGGGUUGUAAAGCCCUGUCAGGUGGGAAGAAACCUCUUUGAGUAAAUAGCUCAGAGAACUGACGGUACCACCAAGGGAAGCACCGGCUAACUCCGUGCCAGCAGCCGCUGUAAGACGGAGGGUGCAAGCGUUGUUCGGAAUCACUGGGCGUAAAGGGUGCGUAGGCGGCAUGCUAAGUCAAUUGUUUAAUUUUCCGGCCUAACCGGAAGCAAGCAGUAGAUACUGGCAAGCUAGAGUAUGGAAGAGAGGAGCGGAAUUCUCGGAGUAGCGGUAAAAUGCGUAGAUCUCGAGAGGAACACCGAUGGCGAAGGCAGCUCCUUGGUCCAUUACUGACGCUGAGGCACGAAAGCGUGGGGAGCAAACAGG